CCUUGGCUCUAAUGGACUCGCUGUUAUCUGAAUGAUGCAUUAUUUCUUGGGAACAAAGGUUUAAAUACACUACUUUGCUGUUUGACUUAUCAGCAACCUUCUUCUCAAUAUUAAUUGCAUCAGCAACAGCCAACUCCGUUUCUGCUGUUCUAUAAAUCUCUGGCAAAUUUACUUUCCUCAAGAAGUGUUCUGUCAAACGAUAAAGCUGUGUCUGCCUAACUGAUAAGGGGAUUUUAUUAUGGCGGG
rnacentral:misc_RNA from 1 species